rnacentral:rRNA from 1 species
CAAAGGUAGCAUAAUCAUUAGUUUUUUAAUUGAAAGCUGGAAUGAAAGGUUGGACGAGAAAAUGACUGUCUCAAUUUAAUUUUAAUUAGAAUUUUAUUUUUAAGUAAAAAAGCUUAAAUAAUUUUAAAAGACGAGAAGACCCUAUAGAAUUUUAUAUAUUUUAAAAUAAAUGUUUUUAAGUUAAUUUUUAUUUUUAUUUAAAAAUAUAUUUUGUUGGGGCGAUAGAAAAAUUUAAUGAACUUUUUUUUUUUUUUAUCAUUUUUUUAUGAUUAAAUGAUCCUUUUUUUAUGAUAAAAAAAUUAAAUUACCUUAGGGAUAACGGCGUUUUUUUU